rnacentral:rRNA from 1 species
GGGCCCCGCAAUGAUGCUGGCGGCAGGCUCAACACAUGCAAGUCGAGCGGAUGAAAGUAGCUUGCUACCGGAUUCAGCGGCGGACGGGUGAGUAAUGCUUAGGAAUCUGCCUAUUAGUGGGGGACAACGUUCCGAAAGGAGCGCUAAUACCGCAUACGUCCUACGGGAGAAAGCAGGGGACCUUCGGGCCUUGCGCUAAUAGAUGAGCCUAAGUCGGAUUAGCUAGUUGGUAGGGUAAAGGCCUACCAAGGCGACGAUCUGUAGCGGGUCUGAGAGGAUGAUCCGCCACACUGGGACUGAGACACGGCCCAGACUCCUACGGGAGGCAGCAGUGGGGAAUAUUGGACAAUGGGGGGAACCCUGAUCCAGCCAUGCCGCGUGUGUGAAGAAGGCCUUUUGGUUGUAAAGCACUUUAAGCGAGGAGGAGGCUACCUAGAUUAAUACUUUAGGAUAGUGGACGUUACCCGCAGAAUAACACCGGCUAACACGGUGCAAGCAGCCGCGGG